GACGAACGCUGGCGGCGUGCCUAAUACAUGCAAGUCGUGCGAACCACUUCGGUGGUGAGCGGCGGCCGGGUGAGUAACACGUGGGCAAUCUGCCCGACAGACCGGGAUAACGCUUGGAAACGAGUGCUAAUACCGGAUACGCUCUUGAAUCGCAUGGUUCGAGAGGGAAAGCUGCCUUUGCAGCACUGUCGGAUGAUCCCGGGGCGCAUUAGCUAGUUGGUGAGGUAACGGUUCACCAAGGCGACGAUGCGUAGCCGACCUGAGAGGGUGACCGGCCACACUGGGACUGAGACACGGCCCAGACUCCUACGGGAGGCAGCAGUAGGGAAUCUUCCGCAAUGGGCGCAAGCCUGACGGAGCAACGCCGCGUGAGUGAUGAAGGCCUUCGGGUUGUAAAACUCUGUCUUCUGUGAAGAACAAGCCUAUGAAGAGAAUGCUUAGGCCCUGACGGUAACAGAGGAGGAAGCCCCGGCUAACUACGUGCCAGCCGCCGCUGUAA
rnacentral:rRNA from 1 species